GAUGAACGCUGGCGGCGUGCCUAACACAUGCAAGUCGAACGAAGCUUGACGGAUGAUUUCUUCGGAAUGAAACCAGAUAUGACUUAGUGGCGGACGGGUGAGUAACACGUGAGCAACCUGCCUUUCAGAGGGGGAUAACGGCUGGAAACGGUCGCUAAUACCGCAUGAUGUGUUCGGAUGGCAUCAUCUGAACAUCAAAGAUUUAUCGCUGAAAGAUGGGCUCGCGUCUGAUUAGAUAGUUGGUGGGGUAACGGCCUACCAAGUCUACGAUCAGUAGCCGGACUGAGAGGUUGAACGGCCACAUUGGGACUGAGAUACGGCCCAGACUCCUACGGGAGGCAGCAGUGGGGAAUAUUGCACAAUGGGGGAAACCCUGAUGCAGCAACGCCGCGUGAAGGAUGACGGUUUUCGGAGUGUAAACUUCUUUUCUUAGUGACGAAGACAGUGACGGUAGCCAAGGAAUAAGCAUCGGCUAACUACGUG
rnacentral:rRNA from 1 species